AUCAGAUCGACCGUAUCGGUUUGGAAAGAUUUCCUUAGGGUUUUGUUGAAAACACCAACGUCGCUUGCGAUUUUCGCUGCGGAGUGAAAACUGAAAACACUUCUGAUGAUGAUAAUGUUAAAUUUCGUGGUCAAAAAUCUAUAACAAAUGCUCCACCUCCUCCGGCGAAUCGGUGGAAGCCCAUGGAUUGCCGGAGAGCGAUUUUCGCUGUGCCAUCUCCGUCUCCUCCACGACUUCGCCGACAGAGCCCUACCUCCAUCAUCCUCGAGUUCAGAACUCACCGUCUCCUACCUCGUGAAUUCAUGUGGGCUCUCCCAGUCUGUUGCUCUCUCCCUCGCUAAGAGAAUCAACCUCAAGACCACGGAGAAUGCCGACUCAAUCCUUGCCCUUCUCAGAGCACACGGCUUUGCGACUAGCCAUAUUGCUUCUAUCGUCACCAAGUCUCCUCGCAUUCUCUUCUCUGAUGCGGAGAGCAAUAUCAAGUCCAAGCUGGAGUUCUUUCUCGAUGUUGGAGUGUCCAACGACAGCCUUGCAAAGCUUAUCUCAGCCAUACCUUCCAUCCUAAGGUGUAGCCUGGAAAAGAGGCUUAUGCCCAACUUUGAUAUGCUCAAGACGAUCUGCGGCAGCGACAAGCAAUUGCUAGCCAACAUCUGCAAAUUCGCCUGGCUCUUAGGUCGCAACUUCGAGAAGGAGAUCUUUCCGAACUUGAAGACUCUGCGAGACCAUGGAGUUCCCCCUUCCAGUAUAGUAAAGUUAUCUAUCAUGGCCCCGCAAGUUUUGCUGCGAAACCCUGCCCGUUUCAGCAAAUCAGUAGUUAAUCUGAAAGAAAUGGGCUUUGAUCUGUCCGCAGUGUAUUUCGUUUCAGGUCUUAAGGCAGUUUGGAUGCAGAGUAACUCAAGUUGGGAAAGGAAAUUGCAGCUGUACAAGAGUUUAGGCUGGUCAGCCGAGGAAACUAUCUCCGCGUUCAAGAAGUUUCCUUUUUGCAUGAUGAUUUCAGAUAAGAAAAUCAAGAGGGGCAUUAAUUUUUUUGUUGAGAGUGUGAAUUGUAAGCCGUCCUUUUUGGCAAAACAGCCGAUUCUCCUGUGUUUCAGUCUCGAAAAGAGAAUUGUGCCUCGGCUCAACGUUAUGAAUAUCUUGGCAUCCAAGGGACUAGAAAAGAACUUCAGUAUGACAACAAUACUGUACGCAAGUGAAAGGAGGUUCCUUGAGAAAUAUGUCGUUAAGUACAAAGAUCAAGCUCCAGAAGUUAUUCUCGCUUACAAGGAUAAAAUUGAUUCGAAAGGUCUCAUGUUCAAUCAGUAGCCAUGGAGCCUUAAGUUGUCCUUGUUGUAAUUGUAGAUGCUUUUUAUGUUAUGCAAGUGGAAGAUGACAAUUGAUGCCAGGGGCAGCAUUCACUAUUUGUGGCUAUGCAGUGUAAAUGUUGAUCGGUAAAUUAGUUGUGGAAGACUAGAAGCUAUUGCAUCUGUCUGUGCUUCCAGUUCAAGGAAUCUGCUGUGGAAUAUUUUGCAUAAUUUGGUUCAUUUAAGAACAAGUGUUUCUGGCUAUCAGCCCAGUGCCUAAAUAAAAGACAAGUAAAGAUAGCUUCGAUCUUGCUGGGCUCUUUCGUUCCUUCUUUUUCUUUUUUCCCCUGGUUUUGGGCUCUUUAGUUCUUAUGAUACAUUGUAUUAGUUUGCUGCGUUUCUGGAGCUUUUUGUAGGUGCUGAGUGGCUGAGCACAGGUCAAAGGCUUUAGGCCUUUUUUGUGAAGCUGCCAAUGCCAGCACCAAUUGGCUACUACGCCUCUUCUAUAACACAACUGCACUGAAGAACCGCAUCAAGUGGCCUCCUCGCUACUAUUAUGAACAAUUUCUUCCCGGCAAUUGUAAGUCAGCCUCAGGAAUAUUUAUAUUUGUUACUUUUUAAUUAAUUUAACUUGUUGAGUAGCAUCAAUUAAUUGAAUCAUAUAAGAUAUUUUGUGGAUGAUUCAAACUGAAUUUAUAUUUUUAUCACUUAUCAGAA